UACGAAGGGGGCGAGCGUUGUUCGGAAUUACUGGGCGUAAAGGGCGCGCAGGCGGCCCUUGAAGUCAGGCGUGAAAGCCCCGGGCUCAACCUGGGAGGUGCGCUUGAUACUCGAGGGCUUGAGUGCGGGAGAGGAGAGUGGAAUUCCCAGUGUAGAGGUGAAAUUCGUAGAUAUUGGGAAGAACACCGGUGGCGAAGGCGGCUCACUGGACCACAACUGACGCUGAGGCGCGAAAGCUAGGGGAGCAAACAGG
rnacentral:rRNA from 1 species